AACGUAGGUACCGAGCGUUAUCCGGAUUUACUGGGCGUAAAGCGUGUUCAGGCGGCCUGGCAAGUCGGGCAUGAAAUCUCUCGGCUCAACCCGAGAGAGGCUGUCCGAUACUGCUGGGCUUGAGGACGGUAGAGGGUGGUGGAAUUCCGCGUGUAGGUGGUGAAAUGCGUAGAUAUGCGGAGGAACACCAGUGGCGAAGGCGGCCACCUGGGACCGUCCCUGACGCUCAAACACGAAAGCUAGGGUAGCGAACGGGG
rnacentral:rRNA from 1 species